AAUUCUCAACUCCGAUUUGAUUUGUUUCUUAUCGGAGCUUGGACUUUGGAGCGUGCUGGCGUAAGGUCGGCUCCUCUUAAAUGUAUCAGCGGAAUCUAACCUUUGGAUUCUGGACAUCGGUGUGAUAAUAAAAGUUGCGCCGUCGUUCUACUUCAAAGUCCGCUUACAAUGGUCUUUUGACAAACUCUUAUCAA
rnacentral:misc_RNA from 1 species